GACGAACGCUGGCGGCGUGCUUAACACAUGCAAGUCGAACGGAAAGGCUCCAGCUUGCUGGAGUACUCGAGUGGCGAACGGGUGAGUAACACGUGGGUAAUCUGCCCUGCACUCUGGGAUAAGCCUGGGAAACUGGGUCUAAUACUGGAUAUGACCUUUCUCCUUAUGGGGUUUGGUGGAAAGUUUUUCGGUGUAGGAUGAGCCCGCGGCCUAUCAGCUUGUUGGUGGGGUGAUGGCCUACCAAGGCGACGACGGGUAGCCGGCCUGAGAGGGUGAUCGGCCACAUUGGGACUGAGAUACGGCCCAGACUCCUACGGGAGGCAGCAGUGGGGAAUAUUGCACAAUGGGCGGAAGCCUGAUGCAGCGACGCCGCGUGAGGGAUGACGGCCUUCGGGUUGUAAACCUCUUUCAGCAGGAACGAAGCGUAAGUGACGGUACCUGCAGAAGAAGCACCGGCUAACUAGGUG
rnacentral:rRNA from 1 species